AAUAUCCAUUAUGGAAAAUUCAACAUUAAUAUUAUAAUAUUUAUUUAUAAAUAUUAUAAAAAUAGUGUGCAAUUUUUCCAUAUAAGGACAUUGUAAUCUGUUAAUGUUAUAAAUAUUUAUCAUAAGAUUCAAUAAAUAAAAAGUUUAUUCAAAUUAGUUAUUUUCCGAUUUCUAACAUAGAAUAAAUUUAAUUGAAUUUGAUAAAUCAUUGACAGAUUUAUUUAUAUAUAGUGCUUAAAUUCUUAUUUGAAUUUUACAAUAAUUUAUAAAUGUAUUUUCAUUUAUUUAUUUAUUGUAUGCACUUAUAUGAUUAACAAUGCUAUAGAUUCAGGAUACCUUCGGGACCCGUCUUGAAACACGGACCAAGGAGUCUAACAUAUGUGCAAGUCAUUGGGUAUUUUUAAUAAAACCCAAAGGCAUAAUUAACUUAACUGUUUUUUUAAAUGGGAUUAGUUUAUAUUUUAUUAUGAAAUAUUAAUUCAAUCCCGGGGCGUUCUAUAUAGUUAUGUAUAAUAAUAUUUAUAUUAUUUAUACCUCUAACUAGA
rnacentral:rRNA from 1 species